GCCCCGCUGACCUGUCAGUUCGCUUCACAGUUGGAGCUGGCGGAGGCUGAGCGGGGGCUCGUCGCCGCCCCUUCCCCGCUCAGGCCGGGAACCCGCGUGUCGGGCCGCCCGUGGGUCCUUAACGCCGCGCCGAGGGAACUUAGACUUCAUUUGAAGAAAUGAUCUUUUCUGAGUCUUUGGAACUGCUGCUUCAGAAUUAUUGGAGGCAGCCCAGUUUCUCCUGGAAUCGCUGAAGUCAACACGAGUGGAUUAGUUGAGCCUUAGCCAGCUCUCUUGUUUGGGAGUCAGGAGUUAGCAGACAGAGCAAGUUCUUGGCCAGGCAGGCUGGGUUUAUAGACUUUCACUAAGCAUUCUAACACAAUCCACUUUUCCUCUGACAGAUUUCUUUUAACUUCUUAGCACUUAGGAAUUUCCCUCCGGGUCAUGAAUUUUAGGCUCUGACUUGACCUGUCAUAGCCCCAUUAUAGCCAGAUAGAUCAAGUUGAAAUUUUUCUGCUCUAUCAUAUAUAUAUAUAUAUAUAUGUGUGUGUGUGUGUGUGUGUGUGUGUGUGUGUGUGUGUGUGUGUGUGUAUAUGUAUAUUUAUGAGAAAGAUAGAAGAGAGAAAGAACCAGAUAUCACUCUGACACAUGUGCUGCCAGGGAUCGAACUCAGGACCUCAUGCUUGAGAGUCCAAAGCUUUAUCACUGUGCCCGCCACCUCCUGGACCACUGCUCUAUCAUACAUUAAAGAGAGAUUGCACCAGAUGUAUAUAAUUAGUUUUCUUGACAAAAUACCUAGGAUUUUCCAUAGGAAAUCAGUACCUCUUCUUUAAGCAUUACUUGCUAAUAUAUAGUGAAAUUAAUACUAUUUUUCACUA